rnacentral:rRNA from 1 species
AUUGAACGCUGGCGGCAGGCCUAACACAUGCAAGUCGAGCGAGCGGCGGACGGGUGAGAGUUGUCUGGGAUACUGCUUGCCGGAGGGGGGUAACUACUGGAAACGGUAGCUAAUACCGCAUACCAUCUGAUGUGCCCAGAUGGGAUGGGCUAGUAGGUGGGGUAACGGCUCACCUAGGCGACGUUCCCUAGCUGGUCUGAGAGGAUGACCAGCCACCCUGGAACUGAGACACGGUCCAGACUCCUACGGGAGGCAGCAGUGGGGAAUAUUGCACAAUGGGCGCAAGCCUGAUGCAGCCAUGCCGCGUGUGUGAAGAAGGCCUUCGGGUUGUAAAGCACGUUCAGCGGGGAGGCGUUACCCGCAGAAGAAGCACCGGCUAACUCCGUGCCAGCAGCCGCGGUAAUUC